UACGUAGGGUCCGAGCGUUGUCCGGAAUUAUUGGGCGUAAAGAGCUCGUAGGCGGUCUGUCGCGUCGGCUGUGAAAACCCGAGGCUCAACCUCGGGUCUGCAGUCGAUACGGGCAAACUAGAGUACUGCAGGGGAGACUGGAAUUCCUGGUGUAGCGGUGAAAUGCGCAGAUAUCAGGAGGAACACCGGUGGCGAAGGCGGGUCUCUGGGCAGUAACUGACGCUGAGGAGCGAAAGCGUGGGGAGCGAACAGG
rnacentral:rRNA from 1 species